rnacentral:rRNA from 1 species
AAUACCACCCUUUAAUGUUUGAUGUUCUAACGUGGACCCGUAAUCCGGGUUGCGGACAGUGUCUGGUGGGUAGUUUGACUGGGGCGGUCUCCUCCUAAAGAGUAACGGAGGAGCACGAAGGUUGGCUAAUCCUGGUCGGACAUCAGGAGGUUAGUGCAAUGGCAUAAGCCAGCUUGACUGCGAGCGUGACGGCGCGAGCAGGUGCGAAAGCAGGUCAUAGUGAUCCGGUGGUUCUGAAUGGAAGGGCCAUCGCUCAACGGAUAAAAGGUACUCCGGGGAUAACAGGCUGAUACCGCCCAAGAGUUCAUAUCGACGGCGGUGUUUGGCACCUCGAUGUCGGCUCAUCACAUCCUGGGGCUGAAGUAGGUCCCAAGGGUAUGGCUGUUCGCCAUUUAAAGUGGUACGCGAGCUGGGUUUAGAACGUCGUGAGACAGUUCGGUCCCUAUCUGCCGUGGGCGCUGGAGAACUGAGGGGGGCUGCUCCUAGUACGAGAGGACCGGAGUGGACGCAUCACUGGUGUUCGGGUUGUCAUGCCAAUGGCACUGCCCGGUAGCUAAAUGCGGAAGAGAUAAGUGCUGAAAGCAUCUAAGCACGAAACUUGCCCCGAGAUGAGUUCUCCCUGAGACUUAGAGUCUCCUGAAGGAACGUUGAAGACGACGACGUUGAUAGGCCGGGUGUGUAAGCGCAGCGAUGCGUUGAGCUAACCGGUACUAAUGAACCGUGAGGCUUAACCUUACA